rnacentral:rRNA from 1 species
UACGAAGGGGGCUAGCGUUGCUCGGAAUCACUGGGCGUAAAGCGCACGUAGGCGGAUUGCUAAGUCAGGGGUGAAAUCCUGGAGCUCAACUCCAGAACUGCCUUUGAUACUGGCGACCUUGAGUCCGGGAGAGGUGAGUGGAACUGCGAGUGUAGAGGUGAAAUUCGUAGAUAUUCGCAAGAACACCAGUGGCGAAGGCGGCUCACUGGCCCGGAACUGACGCUGAGGUGCGAAAGCGUGGGGAGCGAACAGG